GUCUACAGCCAAACCACCCUUGAACACGCCUCAUCUCGUCUGAUCUUGGAAGCUCAGCAGGGUGGGGCCUGGUUAGUACUUGGAUAGGAGACUGCCUUGGGAAUACAGGGUGCUGUAGGCU
rnacentral:rRNA from 1 species